UAAGGAAUAUUGGUCAAUGGACGCAAGUCUGAACCAGCCAUGCCGCGUGGAGGAUGAAGGUCCUCUGGAUUGUAAACUUCUUUUAUCUGGGAAGAAACCCAUGUUUUCUAAUGUGGUUGACGGUACCAGAUGAAUAAGCACCGGCUAACUCCGUGCCAGCAGCCGCGGUAAUACGGAGGGUGCAAGCGUUAUCCGGAUUCACUGGGUUUAAAGGGUGCGUAGGCGGGUUGGUAAGUCCGUGGUGAAAUCCCCAAGCUUAACUUGGGAACUGCCGUGGAUACUAUCAAUCUUGAAUAUCGUGGAGGUAAGCGGAAUAUGUCAUGUAGCGGUGAAAUGCUUAGAUAUGACAUAGAACACCAAUUGCGUAGGCAGCUUACUACACGAUCAUUGACGCUGAGGCACGAAAGCGUGGGGAGCAAACAGG
rnacentral:rRNA from 1 species